GUUUGUGUUGUGUAACAUUUGUCAUUCUUGGCACUUUAUAGUUUACUGUAACGGUAUUGGAUUUCCUCAUGAUUCAGGGUCGUAUAAAGACCUAUGCAUGGUUACAUCUGUUCCCCUUGGUUCCUGUCGUAUAAUUGUCUCAUGGGCAAUUAUAACACAUCUCAUCUCUUUAUUUCCAUAAAUGCCUCUAAAUAGAUGAAU
rnacentral:lncRNA from 1 species